UCCGAAUUCAGACCCUUGACCUCGGGUAAU
rnacentral:sRNA from 1 species